rnacentral:misc_RNA from 1 species
GAUGAAGACGUAGCGAAAUGCGAUACUUGGUGUGAAUUGCAGAAUCCCGUGAACCAUCGAGUCUUUGAACGCAAGUUGCGCCCGAAGCCAUUAGGCCGAGGGCACGCCUGCCUGGGCGUCACACGUCGUUGCCCCCCCAUCUACUCCUUCGGGAUUGCGAGGGGCGGAUGAUGGCCUCCCGUGCGCCUCGUCGCGCGGUUGGCAUAAAUGCCAAGUCCUCGGCGACGCACGCCACGACAAUCGGUGGUUGCGAAACCUCGGUUGCCCGUCGUGUGCGGUCGUCGCGCAUCGAGGGCUCGAAAAAAUUGCCGGGCUCCGGCUCGGCUUUCAACGCGACCCCAGGUCAGGCGGGGUUACCCGCUGAAUUUAAGCAUAUCAAUAAGCGGAGGA